UGUUGCUCUGUUUCUCCAUCACUUCUUGCGGUGGCGCCAUUUGUAAUGAUGAAUGAAGCUGUAGAGAUUAAACAAAAAGUUUUGGUUUUUUCUUUUUUUUUUUUGCUUUUCUGUUUUGUGAGGAAUUAUUAGGCUUUGGCCUGAAGGAGACUAGACUUGUGUCGGAGGAGUUCAUAUAGAGAGCACACAUCGGAGUAAACGGUGGGGUUGGUGAAAAUGUUAGUUUUGUAGUUUUUUGAUAAUUAUGAGGGUAGUUUUGUCAUUAUGGUAGAGUAUGGGUUUGCAUUUUUUCACGUCGCGUUUGGUAAGCUGCCUUUUAUUAUUAUUUUUGGUUGAAAAAUCACAUAUAAACGCAGAGUAUGUAAUGGUAAUAAUUAAUAGAUUGUAGA
rnacentral:lncRNA from 1 species